rnacentral:rRNA from 1 species
UACGGAGGGGGUUAGCGUUGUUCGGAAUUACUGGGCGUAAAGCGUACGUAGGCGGAUUAGUAAGUUGGGGGUGAAAUCCCGGGGCUCAACCCCGGAACUGCCUCCAAAACUACUAGUCUUGAGAUCGUGAGAGGUGAGUGGAAUUCCGAGUGUAGAGGUGAAAUUCGUAGAUAUUCGCAAGAACACCAGUGGCGAAGGCGGCUCACUGGCCCGAUACUGACGCUGAGGUGCGAAAGCGUGGGGAGCAAACAGG